CUUGGGUACUCGAGUGGCUAACGGGUGAGUAACACGUGGGUGAUCUGCCCUGCACUUCGGGAUAAGCCUGGGAAACUGGGUCUAAUACCGGAUAGGACCACAUUUUGGAUGGUGUGGUGGAAAGUUUUUCGGUGUGGGAUGAGCUCGCGGCCUAUCAGCUUGUUGGUGGGGUAAUGGCCUACCAAGGCGUCGACGGGUAGCCGGCCUGAGAGGGUGUACGGCCACAUUGGGACUGAGAUACGGCCCAG
rnacentral:rRNA from 1 species